GGUUGUAUGGUGUAGAGGUUAGCACUCCAGAUUCUGAAACUAUCACAGAGAUUUACUUCUGGCGACCCCGGUUCGAGUCCGGGUACGACCU
rnacentral:tRNA from 1 species